AGGAGGGCUCUUCCCAUCCCUCUUGGAGAAGUGCUCACUGGGAGUUCAGUGCUGAGUGCCUGGAGCUGAGCUCAUGUCAAAUUUCUGUGGCUUCUUCUUACUGAAGACUGGAAAUGAUCCUUGGAAAUCUUCAAGCAUUGCAAUGGAGACAGUGACCUUUGAGGAUGUAGCUGUGAAGUUCACUCCAGAAGAGUGGGAUUUGCUGACUCCAUCCCAAAAGAAGCUCUACAGAGGAGUGAUGUGGGAAACAUAUAUGAAUAUUACUGCAACAGGUAA